rnacentral:rRNA from 1 species
AGCGAACGCUGGCGGCAGGCCUAACACAUGCAAGUCGAACGAGACCUUCGGGUCUAGUGGCGGACGGGUGAGUAACACGUGGGAACGUGCCUUUAGGUUCGGAAUAACUCAGGGAAACUUGUGCUAAUACCGAAUGUGCCCUUCGGGGGAAAGAUUUAUCGCCUUUAGAGCGGCCCGCGUCUGAUUAGCUAGUUGGUGAGGUAAUGGCUCACCAAGGCUACGAUCAGUAGCUGGUCUGAGAGGAUGAUCAGCCACAUUGGGGCUGAGACACGGCCCAAACUCCUACGGGAGGCAGCAGUGGGGAAUCUUGCGCAAUGGGCGAAAGCCUGACGCAGCCAUGCCGCGUGAAUGAUGAAGGUCUUAGGAUUGUAAAAUUCUUUUACCAGGGACGAUAAUGACGGUACCUGGAGAAAAAGCCCCGGCUAACUUCGUGCCAGCCGCCGCAGUAAAAC